CCUUCGAUAGCUCAGUUGGUAGAGCGGUGGACUGUAGAAAGUUUCGGGCUGCAAGACUGCAUUCAGCUGAAGAUCACUCUCCAUCCAAUAGAAAUCCAUAGGUCACUGGUUCAAAUCCGGUUCGAAGGA
rnacentral:tRNA from 1 species